CAGUAGGAUGUUAAAUAUAUCAAAGCCUAUUUUAUGUACUGGUGAGGAACCAUGCCCAAGAUAAAGUAUUGGAUAUAGAAAAAAAAAAAAAAAACCACCCAAGCAAGGUUCAAGACCGCCUGUAUUUGCUAGUGUACAUAGGAAUUUUUCUAGAAGGUGAUACAAGAAACAGGCAAUAGUGCUUUAUCCUGGAGAGUGAGAAUGAGAUAGGGACUUUUCUCUGUAAACCCUUUUGUCUCUUUUGAAUUGGUACUAUGUGUAUCUUUUCAAAAACAUAGGUAUUUAAACAUUUUUUUAAUGUAUCAACAUAUCACAAGCUAAAAAGCAUACUCAUCACUGGAGAUGACCUUCCAGAAAAUAACAAUAAUGGGUCUUCCCCUGGUGGACCUGACUGUCACUUAAUAAGUGGUCCUUCCAGAUCUGAUGUUUGGCCUUUUGUGCUAAGAAUAGUUUAUUCACCUCCACCAAGGAGCCAUUUGUCCACGAGAGGUCAUGUUGUAAUUAUGUGGUCAUGUUCAAGAUGAGGGAUUUUGUAUCUUUCUGGUCCGUCUGACCCACUUCAGAUGGAGAAACUGGGAAAUAUUCUUUCAUGCAAACUCUUCCAGGGAAAGGUACCUCCUAAACAUUAAAUCAUUAAGAUAAUACAUGUUAUUGGGAGGUGGGUGGGAGACCCUAUUUAUAUGUUUGCAUUCUUUUUAGAGUACUGGCUGGGCCAUGGUUAAAAGGGGAAGCACUGUAUUAUACUAUUUGUUUUCCCUUUCCAUGGUGUUGGCUGCUGUGUAGGAUGCUGCGGUUACUAGUUAUUGAUCUCUCUCUAUUCCCUCUGUUGUUGUUCUAACGAUGUCCUGCAAAUUGAGAAAGUUAUGAUUUUUUUCUAAGCGCAACAUAAUGGCAUUGUAAAAAAGAUUCCUAUAAUCAAGAAGUUGGUUUUGAAAGAAAACAAGGGAGACUUCACUGACCAUUCUUAGAAUACAUUAGACACCCAAAGCAUGUCAGUCAUUAAUUCUUUCCCAUUCUUUCCAUGGGGGUGUGAGUUCCUGAUUGCUGUGGGCUCUUACACUCAGCUGUUACCUCCGAGAAGUAAUGCUCUAUAUUUGCCCAGACCUCUACGGCUUGAGAAAACUCACAAGCAUCACAUUUGGGAAAACGUCUCACCAUGUAUAGCCCCUCACCACAUCUGACUGGUCAGCCAAGCAGACAAUCAAAAGGCGCAUGGCAGGAAAUGUGGGAGCUGAGACGUGAACCAGCUGCUCGACUGCUUUGCACUUGACCCCUCCCCUUGAUUGCUUCACCCUACUGACUGGGUGUGCCGCCUCCUUGUCAUCCUUAUUCAAUCUGGACAUCAUGAUUUUGCCAAAUCUUUACCAAGCUCUGGGGUGAGAUGGCAAAAUGAAUUUUAAAAGCAUUUUUUUCCCAUGUUCUAUUUCCAGGGGAAACACACUGACUGGUAACUGGUGACCGGGCAAGCUGUGUGUUCCUGAGACACAAGGAGGAUGAUAAGCCCUCAAGUCAGAUUUCAUUUUGGAGAAAGCUUACCUAUACUCUUGGUUUGAAUUUAAGAAGACAAAGAAAAAUGUACUGUUAGGAAGACAAUGAGAAAUGCAGCUCAAUGAACAACAUAAGGUAAAGUUCUGUGUACAAAAUGAGUAUUUACUCAGCAUUAAUGGAACUAGUAUUUAUACCAUAGACCAGCUGUACACAAAUUAACAAAAGGCAUCCAGGCAAAAGGACUUCUGAACUUGCGUGGUCAGUGGAAUGCUAUUGGCUGUAGAAAAGUUGAUCUGAUAACACUGAGUCUGCUUCCAGGAAAAGGGAGAGAGCCAUGAUCACUGUAACCAACACGAAAAGAAUUAAGCUUGGUGUCUGUCAAAGCGAAGCGAUGAUACCAAACACCCAAAAGCGUUAACUUCCCUGUGGAUUCCAGUUGUUUGCUCAAAGUUGGUUUCAGACUCUGAAUAGCUGAAAGGAUGUCUGUAUCUCCUGGGAGUUUUUAAAAGAGAAAAGUUGGCAAUGUAAUAAAAGCCCGCACAGUGUGGUUAAGGUUAUGAUUUUUAGUGUCGGAUGACCUUGAACUCAGUGGAAUGUUUCCGAGCCUCAAUUUCCUCUUCUGCAAAAGGGGAAUAUUCCUUCUUCACUCGGUGCUCAACAAACACUUACUGUGCGCUGCUGUUAUGCCAGGUACCGUUCUAGGCACUAGAAACACGGCAGUGAACAGCAGUAACAACGAAA